rnacentral:rRNA from 1 species
GACGAACGCUGGCGGCGUGCUUAACACAUGCAAGUCGAACGGAAAGGCCCUGCUUUUGUGGGGUGCUCGAGUGGCGAACGGGUGAGUAACACGUGAGUAACCUGCCCUUGACUUUGGGAUAACUUCAGGAAACUGGGGCUAAUACCGGAUAGGAGCUCCUGCUGCAUGGUGGGGGUUGGAAAGUUUCGGCGGUUGGGGAUGGACUCGCGGCUUAUCAGCUUGUUGGUGGGGUAGUGGCUUACCAAGGCUUUGACGGGUAGCCGGCCUGAGAGGGUGACCGGCCACAUUGGGACUGGGGUACGGCCCAGAAUCCUACGGGAGGCAACAGUGGGGAAUAUUGCACAAUGGGCGGAAGCCUGAUGCAGCAACGCCGCGUGCGGGAUGACGGCCUUCGGGUUGUAAACCGCUUUCGCCUGUGACGAAGCGUGAGUGACGGUAAUGGGUAAAGAAGCACCGGCUAACUACGUG